rnacentral:rRNA from 1 species
GUAGGUGGCAAGCGUUGUCCGGAAUUAUUGGGCGUAAAGCGCGCGCAGGCGGCUCUUUAAGUCUGAUGUGAAAGCCCACGGCUCAACCGUGGAGGGUCAUUGGAAACUGGAGAACUUGAGUACAGAAGAGGAAAGCGGAAUUCCACGUGUAGCGGUGAAAUGCGUAGAGAUGUGGAGGAACACCAGUGGCGAAGGCGGCUUUCUGGUCUGUAACUGACGCUGAGGCGCGAAAGCGUGGGGGAGCAAACAGGAUUAGAUACCCUGGUAGUCCACGCCGUAAACGAUGAGUGCUAAGUGUUAGGGGGUUUCCGCCCCUUAGUGCUGCAGUUAACGCAUUAAGCACUCCGCCUGGGAGUACGGCCGCAAGGCUG